AGUGAACGCUGGCGGUAGGCCUAACACAUGCAAGUCGAACGGCAGCACAGUAAGAGCUUGCUCUUACGGGUGGCGAGUGGCGGACGGGUGAGGAAUACAUCGGAAUCUACUUUUUCGUGGGGGAUAACGUAGGGAAACUUACGCUAAUACCGCAUACGACCUACGGGUGAAAGCAAGGGAUCUUCGGACCUUGCGCGAUUGAAUGAGCCGAUGUCGGAUUAGCUAGUUGGCGGGGUAAAGGCCCACCAAGGCGACGAUCCGUAGCUGGUCUGAGAGGAUGAUCAGCCACACUGGAACUGAGACACGGUCCAGACUCCUACGGGAGGCAGCAGUGGGGAAUAUUGGACAAUGGGCGCAAGCCUGAUCCAGCCAUACCGCGUGGGUGAAGAAGGCCUUCGGGUUGUAAAGCCCUUUUGUUGGGAAAGAAAAGCAGCAGGUUAAUACCCCGCUGUUCUGACGGUACCCAAAGAACAAGCACCGGCUAACUUCGUG
rnacentral:rRNA from 1 species